rnacentral:rRNA from 1 species
UACGUAGGGUGCGAGCGUUUAAUCGGAAUUACUGGGCGUAAAGCGUGCGCAGGCGGUGAUGUAAGACAGAUGUGAAAUCCCCGGGCUCAACCUGGGACCUGCAUUUGUGACUGCAUCGCUAGAGUACGGGCAGAGGGGGAUGGAAUUCCGCGUGUAGCAGUGAAAUGCGUAGAUAUGCGGAGGAACACCGAUGGCGAAGGCAAUCCCCUGGGCCUGUACUGACGCUCAUGCACGAAAGCGUGGGGAGCAAACAGG